rnacentral:rRNA from 1 species
AGUGAACGCUGGCGGUAGGCCUAACACAUGCAAGUCGAACGGCAGCACAGUAAGAGCUUGCUCUUACGGGUGGCGAGUGGCGGACGGGUGAGGAAUACAUCGGAAUCUACUUUUUCGUGGGGGAUAACGUAGGGAAACUUCCGCUAAUACCGCAUACGCCCUACGGGUGAAAGCAGGGGAUAUUCGGACCUUGCGCGAUUGAAUGAGCCGAUGUCGGAUUAGCUAGUUGGCGGGGUAAAGGCCCACCAAGGCGACGAGCCGUAGCUGGUCUGAGAGGAUGAUCAGCCACACUGGAACUGAGACACGGUCCAGACUCCUACGGGAGGCAGCAGUGGGGAAUAUUGGACAAUGGGCGAAAGCCUGAUCCAGCCAUACCGCGUGGGUGAAGAAGGCCUUCGGGUUGUAAAGCCCUUUUGUUGGGAAAGAAAAGCAGCAGGUUAAUACCCCGCUGUUCUGACGGUACCCAAAGAAUAAGCACCGGCUAACUUCGUG